ensembl:lncRNA
GGCUGUGCUCCGGAAGGGACUUCCUGAAAAACAGCAGCAUGGGGGGGGGUAUCUGCAUCCUGAGAACCAGCACAGCCAGCGCCCUGAGAUGCACGCUGGGAUAUUCUAGAUCAGUUUCCACUUCUGCCCUUCGCUGGUCCACAUAAAGCCCCUCCCACUCUGUGUACCAGUUCCCAGUGAAGUGAGGCUGUUUCUGUUGGUGAGGCCUCGUCCUGGUGUGAUAGAUGCUGACGUGGAAACCUUACUUCUCCAGCUGUUGCCUUCAGCAGGGCUUUCACUCAUCCUUAUCUCCCUAAAGUAGUCCCUGGGCACUGUCUGGGGGUCUGCCCUUGACCCUUGCUAAUAGACUCUUUUUGCGGAGAUGAAGGCACCACUUUCCAGAUACCCUCGACUCUCCCCAACUCUGAGCAAACUGCCCUGAUUUCUUAGCUCCAAAGCCCUCAAACUUCUUCCCCGAGCCUGGCCCACAGCCCUCUGGGUGCUGCAAAUGUCAGCCCCACACCUCCAUGCCAUCCUUCCAGAGUCAGUCUUGUCUGACCUUAGCAUUUUAAAUGUGCAUAUAUUCAUGCAGAUGAGGCCAUCACUCCAUCCACUUUUGAUGAGUCUUGCCAUCAUUCAAUCAACAAUGAUGGAGAGAGGGACAGUGUCUCCCUCUGCUCAAGGUCUAAAAUGCCAGGUUCCCCAGUCACACAUCCAAUGCAGACUCACAGGCAGCUCCCGGAGAGAUUAUGCCUGAAGAAACUCAUUGAAAUACGGAUUUCAAUUGUAUAAGAAAUUACUUCUGCAAUUCAGCCAGCAAGAGCGCAUAUGACUGUUUUUUUUUUAAUCUUAUCAGGGUGUGACAAAAUCAGAAAAUUCAUAGUUUUGCAGCAGCAACAUAUGAAUGCACAAGUUAUAAGAAGCCCUCUUUAGAGAAUUUUAAUGUCUCAAUGCAACCUGCGUAUGUGCAGGGCUCAUCUGAGAAUCUGGGAUUCUCAGAUCGCUGCAAGGUGGCUUAUAAAAUUCCAUUAAUUUUCCUGCCUAAAGGAAGAGACAGCAGGAUUCCUCCCUAGACACAGCCCCAUUUCCCAAGGCUCCCAGGAGAGACCUUUGCUUUGGUUCCAUUCUUUCAAAGUUCUGAGGCCCCAAGUCUCUGAGAGGGACCCCCUAGGCCAAAGCCCAGAAGGAAGGAUUUCCUCCAACAGCUUUGCAGAAAACGUACACAGGCCCUGUCAAAGUCUCUGCCAUUCCAUUAGGACUCAGUGUCACACAGGAGCCUAGAGGGAAGGCAGGAUCGACUUCUCCAGCUUCUGAGUCAUCACACCCUUCCCUGAGUGCUGUCCCCCGAGACUUACACUUUCAGCUACACAGGCUGAAUGUCCGAGGGCAUCUUGUGGUUGUAGGGAUUUAUAGCCAACUUAACAGGUAAAGGGCAAAGCAAAAUAAUGAUAGGUAACAUUUAUUGAGCAUUUUUCACACAUCAGACACUGCUCCAUGCUCUUUACCUGUAUUAACUCAGGCAACCCUUUGCAAUAGGUAAUGUUACCGUUCCCAUUUUACAGGUCUGGAAACUGAGACUGAGGAGGGAGGGGGCUGCUUGCAGUCACGCAGCCAGCCAGAAGAGGAGGUGGGAGAGGGGCCCACUGUCUCCACUUGCAUCCCACACCCUGGACAGCUGAAUGCACUGCUCACCCAGGAUGCUUAGCUUCCUGCUCUUUCCCUUCAGUCACUUUCUGUUUCCUGUUGGCUAGUCAGAGACAGCUGCUGAGUGAUAGGUCAUCUCCCACCCCUGAGACGCUUCCAGUGGAACACAUAAGCCAAGUUAUAAUUAAUCUAUGUUGUUGGGGACUUUUGUUCUUUUGACCAAAAAAAAAAAAAAA